rnacentral:miRNA from 1 species
CAUAUGUGCGUAUGUAUGUGUGUGAGCAUGUGUAUAUAUACAUAUGUAUAUGUACACACACACAUACACACACACACACACACACAUA